GACGAACGCUGGCGGCGUGCUUAACACAUGCAAGUCGAGCGGUAAGGCCCUUUCGGGGGUACACGAGCGGCGAACAGGUGAGUAACACGUGGGUGACCUGCCCUCAGCUCUGGGAUAAGCCUGGGAAACCGGGUCUAAUACCGGAUAUGACUCCAUGACGCAUGUUGUGGGGUGGAAAGCCUUGUGCGGCUGAGGAUGGGCCCGCGGCCUAUCAGCUUGUUGGUGGGGUGAGGCCUACCAAGGCGACGACGGGUAGCCGGCCUGAGAGGGCGACCCGGCCACACUGGGACUGAGACACGGCCCACGACUCCUACGGGAGGCAGCAGUGGGGGAAUCUUGCGCAAUGGGCGAAA
rnacentral:rRNA from 1 species